rnacentral:rRNA from 1 species
UACGGGGGGAGCAAGCGUUGUUCGGAUUUACUGGGCGUAAAGGGCGCGUAGGCGGCGUGACAAGUCACUUGUGAAAUCUCCGGGCUUAACUCGGAACGGUCAAGUGAUACUGUCGUGCUAGAGUACAGAAGGGGCAACUGGAAUUCUCGGUGUAGCGGUGAAAUUCGUAGAUAUCGGGAGGAACACCAGUGGCGAAGGCGGCUCUCUGGACAGGAACUGACGCUGAGACGCGAAAGCGUGGGUAGCAAACAGG